rnacentral:rRNA from 1 species
GUAGGGUGCGAGCGUUGUCCGGAAUUAUUGGGCGUAAAGAGCUCGUAGGCGGUGUGUCACGUCGGCCGUGAAAACCUGCAGCUUAACUGUGGGCGUGCGGUCGAUACGGGCAUCACUGGAGUUCGGCAGGGGAGACUGGAAUUCCUGGUGUAGCGGUGAAAUGCGCAGAUAUCAGGAGGAACACCGGUGGCGAAGGCGGGUCUCUGGGCCGAUACUGACGCUGAGGAGCGAAAGCGUGGGGAGCAAACAGG